rnacentral:misc_RNA from 1 species
GAAAUGCGAUAAGUAAUGUGAAUUGCAGAAUUCAGUGAAUCAUCGAAUCUUUGAACGCAGAUUGCGCCCGCCAGUAUUCUGGCGGGCAUGCCUGUUCGAGCGUCAUUUCAACCAUCAAGCCCCCGGCUUGUGUUGGGGACCUGCGGCUGCCCGCAGGCCCUGAAAAACAGUGGCGGGCUCGCUGUCACACCGAGCGUAGUAGCAUACAUUCUCGCUCAGGGCGUGCUGCGGGUUCCGGCCGUUAAACGACCUUCAUAACCCAAGGUUGACCUCGGAUCAGGUAGGAAGACCCGCUGAACUUAAGC